AAAUAUACGGAUUAUUUCUAAAAAUGUUUACCAAAUACAUUUCUAUCUCCCGCCUCUCCUCCUCUUCUUCUCCGGUUACUACUCUUUUGCCUCAAACAUUUUCUCAUUUUCCCGAUGCUCUCUCCUUCUCAUUCCCUUCCCCUAUCUGGUUUCUCUGCUCCUUCCCCUCACUGGUUCUCUGGGUGCGAAAUUCAACAUUCACAGCACACACCGCACGACUAGCCGCGCCAACUACUGUUCCCCAUCGUCGCGUCGCCGCUACUAUUCCUCCACCGCCGCGUCGCCGCUGCUGUUCCCCCACCACGGAAUUCGUCCUCUUCCUGCCGCCGCCGAAGCACACAAGUGUAGCUCCUCCUUAUCGCUUAUAGCUGUUAUUUCACGAGGAUACAACAUUUGACGAUCUGAUUGAUGUGAUUGAAGGGAACCGUAAAUACAUAAAAUGUGUAUAUGUAUACAACAAGAUAGAUGCAGUUGGUAUUGAUGAUGUUGACAGGCUAGCAAGACUGUCGAACACUAAUGUCAUUAGUGCCAACAUGAAGCGCGCUUAAUCUAGAUAGAUUGUUUGCAAGAAUGUGGGCGGAGAUGGGACUAGUUAGAGGUUAUACUAAGCCUUAAGGCUAGGAGCCUAACGUUUCUGAGCCUGUGGUUCUCUCUGCGUUCACAUGCUCCAUGACGUAUGCAAUUGGACAGGAAGAACAUUCACACUGCCAGUUCAAAGUAUUCAAGCAGACUAGUUCACCCGGUGAGCUCUUCAGCUUUCUCUAUUUUACAUUCAUUCACUCAUUGAGGGUAACGUGUGAUAAUGUUGAAAAUGAUGGAAAAACAACUGAGAUUUGCUCGAGCAGGUGCCGUGCGAUCGCACGGACAUUUUGUGCGCUCGCACUAGUCUACAGAGUUGGCUCCAAAAGUCAAGGCAGUGUGUGCGCUCGUGCCACAAAUUCGUGUGCUCGCACAAAUCCGGAAAAUCGAUGCAGGAACUAUGAGUGAUUUUGUGUGAUCGCACCGCAGAGGAGCCCACUCGCACGGAAUUUCGGUGGGCUCGCACUAAAUUCCUGUGCGAGCACACAAGGAUUUUCUAAGAUUUAGCCAAGUUACAGCCGUGCGAUCGCACGGUUGUUGAGCACGAUCGCAUGACACGAAGGAGAAGAAUCGUCGCAGGGCCCGUUCACAUUGAUGCACAGCACGAUCGCACCGAUGCGAUCGCACCUGGGUCUGCACGUUCGCACGGCUGCGCGGGAUUCAGUUUUCGAGUUUAAAACUCUUAUUUUUGGGGUUUAGUAUAAAUAGGAUUUUUGAUUAUUUUCAUUUUACGCUUUCAUAUUCUACAUUUCAUAUUUUUACACUUUCAAUUCUAGAGGUUUUGUGAUUUUGUUCUUCAAUCUAGAGAGAGAAACUCUUUAAUUCUAAGCAUCAAUUCAGUAAUUUUCUUCAACUCUUCUCUUCUUUAUGCAAUUGAAUUCUUAGUUCUUUAA